CAGCGAGCUUAUCCAGUGACGUCAACGCACCUUCCUCGCCCCCCUUUAUCCCUUCCAUUUUCUCUCUUACCUAGCCUUUUCCUCCUACUUCUCAACGAAAUCGAGGAUCGUCGAUCAGCAUUGAGUCACGUCUCGUGGCUCAUCGAUAGCGAAACGGAAAUCCAGUCAAUUAGAUGCCAGAGAUUUUCUGCUCUUUUCGCCUCCCUCUGAGCCUGCUGACGCAAAUGGUAUAUAUGCGAAUGGAAUAGUAAAUGAACGAGGGGAUCGUCGAUUGAUUUUAAUGCAAUUCCACCGUUUAAAGGAGCAUUCUAUUCUAAAAUUUUCAAACGAUUGCUUCUUGUAUUUGAUAAAAGUGUAUAGCGUCCAGAAAUUACAUCUGUAAAAAGACUUUGUAAAAUUAAUCCUCCGAGUGCUUAAAAUUACC